rnacentral:sRNA from 1 species
AGAGCUCGCGGCCCCCGCCUGUCCGGGCGCCGCCAUGGAGCGCAUCGAGGGGGCGUCCGUGGGCCGCUGCGCCGCCUCACCCUACCUGCGGCCGCUCACGCUGCAUUACCGCCAGAAUGGUGCCCAGAAGUCCUGGGACUUCAUGAAGACGCAUGACAGCGUGACCGUUCUCUUAUUCAACUCUUCUCGGAGGAGCCUGGUGUUGGUGAAGCAGUUCCGGCCAGCUGUGUAUGCGGGUGAGGUGGAGCGCCGCUUCCCAGGGUCCCUAGCAGCUGUAGACCAGGACGGGCCUCGGGAGCUACAGCCAGCCCUGCCCGGCUCAGCGGGGGUGACAGUUGAGCUGUGUGCCGGCCUCGUGGACCAGCCUGGGCUCUCGCUGGAGGAAGUGGCUUGCAAGGAGGCUUGGGAGGAGUGUGGCUACCACUUGGCCCCCUCUGAUCUGCGCCGGGUUGCCACAUACUGGUGAGUGGGACCAGGCCCUCAGGCCUGUGGUGUGACUCAGGAGAUGGGAGAGAGUGAGGGCCCCGUCCCUGGGAGUGUGCAAGCAGGAUGGAUUCCUCCUUGUUUUCC